rnacentral:rRNA from 1 species
GACGAACGCUGGCGGCGUGCUUAACACAUGCAAGUCGAACGAAGUGGCGAACGGGUGAGUAACGCGUAAUCAACCUGCCCUUCAGAGGGGGACAACAGUUGGAAACGACUGCUAAUACCUCAUACUGAAGGUGGGGAUUUCGUCUGAUUAGCUAGUUGGAGGGGUAACGGCCCACCAAGGCGAUGAUCAGUAGGCGGUCUGAGAGGAUGAACGGCCAAAUGGGGAAUGAGAAACGGCCUAGAGUCCUACGGGAGGCAGCAGUGGGGAAUCUUCCGCAAUGGACGAAAGUCUUGCGGAGCAACGCCGCGUGAGGGAUGACGGGCUUCGGGUUGUAAAGCUCUGUUAAUCGGGACGCGGUACCGGAAUAGAAAGCCACGGCUAACUACGUGCCAGCAGCCGCGGUAAUUC